rnacentral:rRNA from 1 species
GACGAACGCUGGCGGCGUGCUUAACACAUGCAAGCCGAGCGGAAAGGCUCCUUCGGGGGUACUCGAGCGGCGAACGGGUGAGUAACACGUGAGUAAUCUGCCCUGUGCUCUGGGAUAGCCACCGGAAACGGUGAUUAAUACCGGAUAUGACCAGCUACUGCAUGGUGGUUGGUGGAAAGUUUUUCGGCUCAGGAUGUGCUCGCGGCCUAUCAGCUUGUUGGUGAAGUAAUGGCUCACCAAGGUGUUGACGGGUAGCCGGCCUGAGAGGGUGACCGGUCACGCUGUGACUGAGACACGGUACAGACUGCUGCUCGCGGCAGCAGUGGGGAAUAUUGGAGACUUGGCGGAGGUCUGAUCCAGCAACGCCUCGUGAGCCAUGAGGGCCUUCGGCGUGUACACCUCUUUCAGUACCGACGUAGCGAUGGUUACGGUAGGUACAGAAGAAGGACCGGCCAACUACGUGCCAGCCGCCGCCGUAAUAC